GCGAUGAGCUGUUUGCGUAAGACGAAGUAUGAGCUUUAAAAGCUAAACGACGAAUGUGGUCGUCGGUACAUUCGCGGCAAUAUAUCAGAAAAGCCUUCCCAUCUUGAAUGGGAAGGCUU
rnacentral:sRNA from 1 species